GGGGGAAUAUUGGACAAUGGGGGCAACCCUGAUCCAGCGAUGCCGCGUGAGUGAUGAAGGCCUUCGGGUUGUAAAACUCUUUCGUCAGGGAAGAUAAUGACGGUACCUGAAGAAGAAGAUCCGGCUAACUCCGUGCCAGCAGCCGCGGUAAUACGGAGGGAUCUAGCGUUAUUCGGAAAUUACUGGGCGUAAAGCGAGCGUAGGCGGAUUUGUAAGUUGGAGGUGAAAUCCCAGAGCUUAACUCUGGAACUGCCUUCAAAACUACAUUUCUUGAGUUUGGUAGAGGAGAGUGGAAUUCCUAGUGUAGAGGUGAAAUUCGUAGAUAUUAGGAGGAACACCAGUGGCGAAGG
rnacentral:rRNA from 1 species